rnacentral:rRNA from 1 species
UACGAGGGGUCCUAGCGUUGUUCGGAAUUACUGGGCGUAAAGCGUGCGCAGGCGGUUGUGUAAGACAGGUGUGAAAUCCCCGGGCUUAACCUGGGAAUUGCAUUUGUGACUGCACGGCUAGAGUGUGUCAGAGGGGGGUAGAAUUCCACGUGUAGCAGUGAAAUGCGUAGAUAUGUGGAGGAAUACCGAUGGCGAAGGCAGCCCCCUGGGAUAACACUGACGCUCAUGCACGAAAGCGUGGGGAGCAAACAGG